UUGUGUUUUGAAAACCCAUUUUUCAUUAGCAUAAUGAGCCUUCACUUAUAGCCAGAAAACUCUAAAGUGUUUUCCCUGAGCUUGUAAAGAAGAAUCUGAAAUUCAGCGUUAUUACUCACCCAGCAACUAAAUUUUUAAACUUAAAUUCUAAACAGUAAAAUGCAUCAUGUAGUAACAAAGGGCAGUCCCCAAUCUCUUGUGGAAGAAGUAAGCUUAAACUCAAAUCUCUGAAGAUCUAUAGCUAGGUAGAUUCACAAAUUUAUAUCAUUUAAGGGGGACAAUUGAUAGAAAGACUCAAAUCUCUAGUUCUAGCAGAGACUUCAAAUAAUUACAAAAGUCAUAAUUACCACAAAGACCAGUUUGUAACCAUGGCUAACCGAAUACUAGGCAGCUGACUAUCAGUCAAAGGAAAGCAAGGGGGGUCAUUUCUGUGUCACAUAAAGAGAAGGGUUGCUGGUUGAUGCCACUUUCUCUUUACUGCCUGCUGUUGGGUGCUCUGCAGAAGUGGCCAGAGGAGGAGGGCAGGAGCACUUCCGAGCGAUGGCUCUAGUUUCCCUCCUCUGUGUGUCAGUGUCAUGUCUCUGCUGAUGAAACUACUGGUUGGUAGUGGGACAUCUACAUUUAAAGCAUCACAGGGUUCUUCUGGAGUGGGAGCCAUGUGUGAUUCAUCUAUAUCCCCAGGUUCCAGUAGUGGUCUGUGUGCUGAGAGUAACCCACAGGCAGACCUUCUGGGCUUGCUGUGCUCAGAGGAGUGGCUUCAGAGGCCUUUCCAUCCGGAGAUACAGUCAGUGAGGCCAGGUCAUGAGAGGAGCAUGUUAAGCAAGGCAAACAGUGAUGGGAACUGAAAAAGGGGUAUUAAGUUCAACUUUAGAAUUCACUAAGGGUCACUGCCACAAUAAACAUUUGUAACUGAA